rnacentral:lncRNA from 1 species
AGACUUCUCACCUGGCCCUCCACCUGGCUCAGAAUGCCUGCCUCUCGCCUGCCAACUCCUACCCAUCUUUCAAGGCCUGGUCAAAUGUCACCUCCACUGGGAAGCCCUCCUUGAUCUCCCAGGCUGUUAGGGGCCUGCCCCAGGUUCCUGCAGACUCCCUGCUUCUCUCCAUCACAAACCUGAGCAGUGUGGGGCUGUCAUUAUCAUGUGUGAGGUUUUAGUACCAGGAAGUGGGGUACUACCAUAGCAAAUACCCAAAAAUGGGGAAAUGGCUUGGGGAAUGGAAAGAAUUGGACAAUGAGCACUUGAUAGAAAAAGCCUAGAUUGCCCUGAAGAGGUGGUCAGUAGAAAUAUGGAUGUUAAAGGUGCCCCUUCUGAGGUCCUAGGAGGAAAUGAGGGACAUGACAUUGGACGUGAAGAUGGAGGUGGGGACUGCAGUGAUGCAUCCACAGAUCUGGGAGACCAGGAUGCUGCAGCCAUCACAGCUGGGGGAAAGGGAGAAGACAGGGGUCCCCUGAGAGCCUCCAGAAGGAGCCAAGCCUGCCGACCCCUUGGUUGAGGGCCUCUGGCCUGCAGCACUGUAAGACAGUAGGUUUCUGUGGUUUAAGCCAUUCAGUCUGUGGUCACAUGUUACAGUAGCCCUAGGAAGCUAAUGCGGGGGCUGCUGGUACCCUGCCCACUCCUUGACUGUUGCCUACUGGCCCAGCUCCCACCUGCAGCUCUGCUCGAAACUGUCCCCACUCUGCUGUGCUCAAAAGGUCAGAGUGCCAGGGAAUCAAGGCCCAGCCCUUUCUCAGGGAGCAGCUGUUCACUAAAGGUUGUCAGGAGGUUGUCGGGGCAGGGGUGGUGGUGUAUAAAUACCCCAGCUCCAUCGCCCCUUGGGCAGGAAUGCACUGAACUUGCUCUAUGCUGGCUCCAGGGUACCCAGCAGGCUUGAGCCCCCAGAACCAUGACCAGCUCCAUCACUAACCAUGUGUUGGCCCCUUCCCUCCCAUGACCCCUGGGAUAACCUCCCAACUCAACUACUGGCAUCCAAAUCCUUGUCUCUGGAUCAGCCUGUGGAGGAGACCGAGCUGAGACGACAUGUCAGCACCUCACCAGGUCUUCCGGGCAAGACCACAGAUGGUGUCCCCAGUGCCAGUCACAGGGCUGGGCCAGGUGUGCUGGUCAAAGGUGGGAAAGGUGGAUGGAUGGAGUGAGGGAAUAGGAAGGAGGAUGGGAAAUGGCCCACAAAGCCUCUGGGUAUGGAAGAUGGUGUAGGCCAGGAGGCCUCCCUGGAGGAGGCAACAGAGAGGCCAUGUGGAGACUGGAGACACAGACGCUGAGGGAAACAGAGGCCUGGAGCCCACCUGUGCCGAGCUGGUCCAGUGGCCAUAGCAGCAGACCCAUGACCAAGGAGAGAACUAAGAAUGGGUGACCCAGGCCCACCACCACCACCUCACCAGUUCUCCUACACCUUGGGCAGACAAGCUGGGGAGGAGCACGGGCUUAGGGGCUGGCAGCUCGUGUCAAACCACAGCUCCGUUACGGGCAGCUGCGUGCCCCUGACAGAUGAGGUCACCUGUCUAAGCCUUGCUGUCUGUCCUGUCCCCGGGAUGUAAGGGAUAAUAGAUUCCCCUCAAAUCCCAUGGGGUUGCUGGGAUGGUGUAUGUGAAGGCACACAGUUGGUGCUCAAUAGAUGUUUGUUCAUGCAGGCUCUGUGGGUGACUUGCUCCAUUCAACAGGCCUUCCAGGGGUCUUCGGGGGUCGCCACCCCCCAGCCUGAGGCCAAGGAGUGGGGACAGCCUGCUGUCCCCGCCCCGUGGAGGCCGCUGCCUGGUCUGCCAAGAGGCACCCAGGGAAGUCAGGGCUGUGGAGGCUGCUGUACCUUCUGCAGUUCUUCAAAUUUGGGGUCCUUCCGGGAAGUGGGUGGCAGGUAUUUCUUCUUUCCUCCUGGAAGCAGAGUGGGUAUGACAAGCGCAUGGGGACCCUGUGGGGCGCUUGGCCACACUCCCUGCAGGUCACCCACAGAUUUCAGCACCGCAGACCCAGGGGCACCGGUCCUGCCACUUCCGCCCCAGCGUGCUUUCCCUCAUUUCCCUCACGAACACCAGCUCAUCCUCAGACACUGCAGCAUUUAUACUUUGAGACAUAAACUCGGAAGUUAUUUCUUGAUUACUUGACAUUCAAAGUUAACUGGGUAUCCUAUGUUUGAUAUAUCUGGCAACCCUACCUAUUUAGGUAAAGUGAAACCCCAGCCAGAGAGGGGAGGAGGUGCCCAGGCUCACCAGGCUCUAAGGGGCUAAGGUGGGACUUACCCCAGGUCUGCCAGGCCCCUCCAUGGCCCCUCUCGUAGUCAGACUCCCCGGGGUGGCCCUCAGAGGCCCAGCAGCUCCCCUUCCCCAAGGCCAUGGCCAGCAUCUGCCCACAUUUUAGACUCACAGAACCCACAAAAUGUCAGGGCCAAGAAGGACCUCUGAGAUCAACUAGUUCCAAGGUACAUGGGGGGAUACUGAGUCAGCAGUGGCGACUGUCUUGCCUAAAUUCACAAAAUGCAUCAUCUCUCAUGUGACCCCAAUAAAGGCUUUUCCUAGGUAUUCUGAAAACCUUCAAGUACUACCCAGACCCAUGUCUUCUGAUGAAAGGGAAGGCAACAGCGUCAUGGGCUGUUGUGCCCAGCACAGGGCAGGCUCUCAGCAAACACUUGGGCGGGUGAGCAGGCGAAUGAAUGAAUGAAGAAAGGAAGGAAUGAAGGAAUGAGUGAAUGGAUAUGGUGCUGCUCCUUCCUGGAGCAGACUUCUUGCCGCUUGAAUCAUCCAAUGUCCCAGCUCUGCUUGCCAGAACUUUUAGUAAUUUAAAUCAGUUGUAAAACAAAAAAUUAAUGGGUUUUUUUGUUUGUUUUGUUUGGUAGUAACUAAGUCCUACUAUUCUAACUCAGCAACUUUCCUCAGGACACUUUCUAAUCUUCAAUGUUUUAAACACAGAAUACCAGAUGGUGACAAAGACAGCCAGGUGACUCUGGACCAAGCUUGUCCCUUCUGGGGUCUCAUCUGCCGUGCCAGGGACCCUGUUGGCACUGGAGUUCUCGCUCCAUAACACCUACUUAAAAGGCGGCAUUCAGGGCUGGGUGCAGUGGCUCACGCCUGUAAUCCCAGCACUUUUGGGAGGCCGAGGCGGGUGGAUCACUUGAGGUCAGGAGUUUGAGGCCGAGCUGGCCAACAUGGUGAAACCCCGUCACUACUAAAAAUACAAAAAUUAGCCAGGUGUGGUGGCAGGUGCCUAUAAGCCCAGCUACUUGGGAGGCUGAGGCAGGAGAAUCUCUUAAACCUGGGAGGCAGAGGCUGCAGUGAGCCGAGAUCCUGGCACUGCACUCCAGCCUGGGUGACACAGUGAGAUUUUUGUCUCAAGAAAAAAAUAAAUAAAUAAACAUUAAAAGGCGGUAUUCACAGGAGCUGGAGAAAGCCGCAUUCUGCUCCCUUCCCUUAAAUUAUUUCACACAUUUUCUUUGUCAGCACAUUUAUGUUUUUGUGGUUACAUAAAUUCCAAUGAGUUCACCUAAAGCCCUUCCCCACUGGGACAUCUCGCUGCUUCCUUGCAAGCUGUUGUUCAUUUGUUUCUUUCAGAGAACACAGAGAGGGUGACAGCUCUGGGUACCUGCCCAUGUCCUUCUUUUGAGCCAUCUCCUAGAAGGGAGGUUGCAGGAACUGUGGCCGCCAACCCCCCAAAGGGCUCAUGACACAGAGCUUUACUGAAAGGGCGACCUAUAGUCGUUGAAUUGCUCCAUCCUAUGCUCACCCCACUUUUGAAAGGGACCCACACGUGUGAGGGGAGCACGUCAGGAGCCCCACACCCUGCAAAGUAUCACUCCAUGGUGGGCAUCGCUGCGUGGUCCGUGUGGAACCUCAGUUCUGGGACCACCCUCCUUGGGCUCAGAACCCAGGUCCACCACUUGCUAAGAGUUUCCUGUUACUGUGGCACGUCACCCCUUGUGCCUCAGUUUCCUCAUCUGUAUAAAGCAGGCACUGAUGCCCGCCCUUGAGAAUAAAUGAGUUGCUAUUGGUAAGAGGUGCUGGUGCAGUAGGGGCACUCAGAAGGCUCACAGGAUGAGAGCAAUCAGUAUUCACCAUCGUAAUCCACACCGUCUCUCAUCUGGAGAGAAGAGGUUCUAGCUCUGUAGAAGGUCCCAGGAGGAGGAGUUAGGUCAAGCAUAAAGCAGAAGGUGGAGGCAGGGGUGAGCAGAAUUGGGCGCUCAGCUGACAGCUGGGAAGGUGCUGCAAGUCCCAGGCAUGGCCAGGCUCACUCUUGCCACACAGACCUUCACCCUCCACCCUCAGACCUGCGUGGGCACACACCUUUUGAGAGCUCCUCCUCCGCUGGGGGCUCCACCCCCUUGGGGAGCUGCAGCAGGUCGUACAAGAACUCCGGCUCCAUCGCCUCCCAAGCCUGCACAGAGGAGGCAGGAGAGGGCGUCACGGUCUGAGAAGCCCCAAACUCACUGAGCCCCUCAUUUUCUCUAGACCUGGAGGCACAGAAGGAGGGUAGAAGCCAGGUUCUGGGGACACGUCAGCAUGCCAGCCUAGGCAGGGGGUACGGGCCCUGUGAGAAAGAGCCCUUGAGCCAACCCUUGCGGGGUGACGGGUUAGAAAAAGGCACAGAAGCUGAGGGCGGGCACAGCCAAGCAAAGGCUUGGCGGAGGAAGUGGUCCUUCCUCAGGCAGGUGCAGAGCGGCC